rnacentral:rRNA from 1 species
AUUGAACGCUGGCGGCAGGCCUAACACAUGCAAGUCGAACGAGUGGCGGAAGGGUGAGUAAUGUCUGGGCAACUGCCUGAUGGAGGGGGAUAACUAAUGGAAACGGUAGCUAAUACCGCAUACCAGAAGAUGUGCCCAGAUGGGAGUAGCUUGUGGGUGGGGUAACGGCUCACCAAGGGGACGAUCCGUAGCUGGUCUGAGAGGAUGAACAGCCACACUGGAACUGAGACACGGUCCAGACUCCUACGGGAGGCAGCAGUGGGGAAUAUUGCACAAUGGGCGCAAGCCUGAUGCAGCCAUGCCGCGUGUAUGAAGAAGGCCUUCGGGUUGUAAAGUACUUUCAGCUGGGAGGCGUUACCCGCAGAAGAAGCACCGGCUAACUCCGUGCCAGCAGCCGCGGUAAUUC